rnacentral:lncRNA from 1 species
UCGGAGAGACUUACAAGGAUAUCAAAUCAUGCAUAUAAGAAAUCAGCAAAGACUCAAAUAUAUAUCAUAGAUAAUAUGAUCACAAAUCCACAAUUCAUCGUAUCUCGACAAACACACCGCCAAAGAAGAUUACAUCGGAUAGAUCUCCAUGAAGAUCAUGGAGAACUUUGUAUUGAAGAUCCAAGAGAGAGAAGAAGCCAUAUAGCUACUAACUACAANNNNNNNNNNNNNNNNNNNNNNNNNNNNNNNNNNNNNNNNNNNNNNNNNNNNNNNNNNNNNNNNNNNNNNNNNNNNNNNNNNNNNNNNNNNNNNNNNNNNGAAUCCUUGGCACUGAGGUUCAAACGAUAAGAUCUUCGUAGAAUAUGUAGGAUCCAAUAUGGGCAUCCAGGUCCCGCUAUUGGAUAUUGACCGAGGAGUCUCUCGGGUCAUGUCUACAUAGUUCUCGAACCCGCAGGGUCUGCACACUUAAGGUUCGACGUUGUGUUAUGCGUAUUUGAGUUAUAUGGUUGGUUACCGAAUGUUGUUCGGAGUCCCGGAUGAGAUCACGGACGUCACGAGGGUUUCUGUAAUGGUCUGGAAACGAAGAUUGAUAUAUAGGAUGACCUCAUUUGAUUACCGGAAGGUUUUUGGAGUUACCGGGAAUGUAUCGGGAAUGACGAAUGGGUUCCGGGUGUUCACCGGGGGGGAAACCCACCCCGGGGAAGCCCAUAGGCCUUGGGGGUGGCGCACCAGCCCUUAGUGGGCUGGUGGGACAGCCCAAGAAGGCCCUAUGCGCCAAGGAUAGAAAAUCAAAGAGAAAGAAAAACAAGGAGGUGGGAAAGGAGAGAANGGACUCCUCCUUCCAAACCUAGUUGGACUCGGUUUGGAAGGGGAGAGUUGCCCCCUUGGCUCAGCCAAACCCCUUGAGGGUCCUUGGACCCCAAGGCAAGGCUCCCCCUCUUCCCCUAUAUAUACGGAGGUUUUAGGGCUGAUUUGAGACAACUUUGCCACGGCAGCCCGACCACAUAUCUCCACGGUUUUACCUCUAGAUCGCGUUUCUGCGGAGCUCGGGCAGAGCCCUGCUGAGAUAAGAUCAUUACCAACCUCCGGAGCGCCGUCAUGCUGCCGGAGAACUCAUCUACCUCUCCGUCUCUCUUGCUGGAUCAAGAAGGCCGAGAUCAUCGUCGAGUUGUACGUGUGUUGAACGCAGAGGUGCCGUCCGUUCGGCACUAGAUCGUGGGACUGAUAGCGGGACGGUUCGCGGGGCGGAUCGAGGGACGUGAGGACGUUCCACUACAUCAACCGCGUUCACUAACGCUUCUGCUGUGCGGUCUACAAGGGUACAUAGAUCGAAUAUCCCCUCUCGUAGAUGGACAUCACCAUGAUAGGUCUUCGUGCGCGUAGGAAAAUUUUUGUUUCCCAUGCGACGUUCCCCAACAUCCUCUUCAAGGGAAAAACCAACGCAAGCUCAAGAAGUAGCACACGUCAUAUGGGUAUUCUUCAAAUGCAAAAAACGACGGGGUUUGCUCUUCUUCCUCUUCGGCUUUGUCAACUUAUUUGGUUAAAUUACGGUAGCUUAUUGAGGUGUUCAUCUGUGUAGGAAGGUGGAUGCUCAUUUCGGUAUUGGGAAGAAGAAUACAUCGAUCUAUUGAUAGAAAGAAACUUAAUAGAUGUUUGUGUACUUCUUAGUAUAAUUGAGCCAAACGAUGGAGCUGCAUGUGCAAUUAGAAAAGAUAUUAAAGGGGAAGCAAUGUCUAAUUCUUUAGAAUCAAAGUCAAAGAAUAAAGAAUGCAAGAUGAAGAACCCCCAGAUCAACAAUGAAUGCAUGGAGAAGAUGUUGAUCCAACUAGUGGGAGCAGUUAUGGAAGUUGGAUAUCUUCUAAAAUGUCUAAUUGUGGUUCUUGUUUUCUUUGGUCUUGUUGUUUUAGCAAAGAUUUGAUAAAUUAUGAUGUAUCCAAUGUCUUUGAAGAAAAUAAAAAAGAAAGCAAAUGUGUUUUCAUGCCUGAAAAUGUAAUGAAAAUAACAAAUUUUGCGGGUCGACGUGGGCCGUUGCCGAGCAGACCCCGCAAAACGGUCCCUAUAAAAGGAUAUUCUCCUUUUAUAAUGGUCCGUUUUNNNNNNNNNNNNNNNNNNNNNNNNNNNNNNNNNNNNNNNNNNNNNNNNNNNNNNNNNNNNNNNNNNNNNNNNNNNNNNNNNNNNNNNNNNNNNNNNNNNNGUUUUGGUGAAUAACUUGCAGGUUCCAUGACCUUGGGAAUCUAUGCAUAGGGGUUGACACAUGUUUUCAUCUUGACUUUCUGGUAGAAACUUUGGGGCACUCUUUGAAGUUCUUUGUGUUGGAUUGAACAUGAUGAAUCUGAAAUUAUGUGAUGUGUAUCGUAUAAUCAUGCCCAUGGGUACUUGCGGUGACAUUGGAGUAUCUAGGUGACAUUAGGGUUUUGGUUGAUGUUUACCUUAAGGUGUUAUUUUAGUACGAACUCUAGGGUUGUUCGUGACACUUAUAGGAUAGCUCAUAAGAUUGAUUAGAAAAGAUAACUUUGAGGUGGUUUCGUACCCUACAAUAAUUUAUUUGUUUGUUCUCCACUAUUUGUGACUUUGGAGUGAACUCUUUGUCGCACGUGAGGGAUUUAUAUAUGAUUCAACUAUGUUAGUAGUGUUGAGAGAACAUGCACUGGUGAAAGUAUGGACCCUAGGCCUUGUUUCCAAGCAUUUAUACAAUGUUUUGCUUGUUGUUUACUAUUUAUUACCUUGCUGUUUUGAUAUUUUCAGAUUACAAAAACCUAUAUCGACCAUCCAUAUUACACUUGUAUCACCAUCUCUUCGCCGAACUAGUGCACCUAUACAAUUUACCAUCGUAUUGGGUGUGUUGGGGACACAAGAUACUCUUUGUUAUUUGAUUGCAGGGUUGCUUGAGAGAGACCAUAUUCAUCCUACGCCUACCACGGAUUGAUAAUCCUUAGGUCAUCCACUUGAGGGAAAUUUUCUACUGUCCUACAAAACUCUUCGCUUGGAGGCCCAACACGAGUCUAUAAGAAGGUUUUGUAGUAGACAUAAAGCUCUUUUCUAGCACCGUUGCCGGGGAGGUUAGGUAAGCAGCACUCACAUCCCGUUAACGUAGCUCUUUUCUGGCGCCGUUGUCGGGGAGCAAUAGCGUGGGGGUUGGUAUUCUCGUGUGUGCUUGUUUGCUUUCUUCACUAAGUAGAUUUUGUUUUUCCUUUUUGAUUUAUUUACUUGUGGGUGAAACAAAAAAAAUUAAAUAAUGAAAAAUACAAAAAGAAUUACUUGCCCCUUAUGCCUAAGAAGUUUUUCAAAAAGAGAAGUGAUUGGAAAGUUGUGCAUUGAAGAAGUGAGGGUCAACCUUGAACACUUAUGUUCAUGCUCAUCGAAACAAUGUAGAAUUUUUCAUGGAAGUUUAUAAAAAAUAAUUAUCCCCUUGUAUAUAUACAUUGUAUUAUAAAAAUAAUGUGCCAAAAUUUGGUUUUAGGAUGAUUAGAUGGCCUGUUUUCUUUGUGCGGUGCAAAAACAGAAACUUCGACUGUAGUGCAUGAAUUUCCAUUUUUUACCGGAACGUCAAAAGUUUCUGAAUUUUUUACACAGUACUUCUAUUCAAAAAAAUUUAAUGUGUCCUAAAGUUUCAGAAAUUUGUGAUUUACAGAAGUAUGCGAAGUUUCCAGAAUGCUACAGACUGUCCUGUUUUUGACGGAUUUUGUUUUCUAUGCAUUGUUCUCUUAUUUUGAUGAAUCUAUGAGUUGUAUCGGGGGGGUAUGAACCAUGGUGAAGUUGGACUACAGUAGAUAUAAUAUUAAUAUGAAUUCGGAAUGAGUUCACAACAGUACUUAAAGUAGUAUUUUGCUUUAUUGUACUAACGGAUCUCACGAGAGGUUUGUUAAGUUUUGUGUGAUGAAGUAUUCGAAGAUCGAGGAGGCAUCAAUAUAAGAAGAAUACGAAGAGACAAGAGUUCAAGCUUGGAGAUGCCCAAGGCACCCCAAGUAUUCAAGGAAACUCAAACAGCUAAGCUUGGGGAUGCCCCGAAAGGCAUCCCAUCUUUAUUCUUCAACAAUUAUCGGUAUACCUCAGUUUUUGUUUUGUUCACAUGAUAUGUGUCUCCUUUUAUGCACCCUUAUAGUAUGAGGUAUUCCUUCAUUGAUUUGUAGAAUGCUCUUUGUGCUUCCCUUAAAUCUUUUGAGUAUGGCUUGUAGAAUGCUCUUUGUGCUUCACUUAUAUAUUUUGAGCUUGGAUAUUGGUUGAUGUAUAUUAAUUAUAGAAUGCUCUAUGUGUUGGGGAACGUUGCAUGGGAAACAAAAAAAUUCCUACGCACACGAAGACCUAUCAUGGUGAUGUCCAUCUACGAGUGGAGAUUAGAUCUACGUACCCUUGUAGACUGCACAACAGGAAGCGUUAAGAAACGCGGUUGAUGUAGUGGAACGUCUCCACGUCCCUCGAACCGUCCCGCGAUCCGUCCCACGAUCCGUUCCGAUCUAGUGCCGAACGGACGGCACCUCCGUGUUCAGCACACGUACAACUCAAUGAUGAUCUCGACCUUCUUGAUCCAGCAAGCAAGACAGAGAAGUAGGUGAGUUCUCCGGCAGCGUGACGGCACGCCGGUGGUGGUGAUGAUCUACUCCUGCAGGGCUCUGCCCGAGCUCCGCAGAAAUCCGAUCUAGAGGUAGAACUAUGUGGUCUAGGGUUGAGUUGCACGUGGCAAAAGUUGUCUCAAAUCAGCCCUAAAACACCACUAUAUAUAGGAGGGAGGGGGAGGGCUAGCCUUGAGGGACAAGCCCUCAAGAUGCACCGGCCAAGGGGAGGAGGAGGACUCCUCCUCCAAUUCGGUUUGGGAAGGAGGAGUCCUCCUCUUCCUUCCCACCUCCCUCUUUCCGGGGGGGGGGGGGGGGUUGGUAUUUUCUUAUGUGGCGCCAUGGACCCCUUGGGCUGACUCCACCAGCCCACUAAUGACUUGUGGCGACAUCCUAGUGCCUUGGGAUCACUCCAGGGUGGGUGGGCCUCUCCCAGUGAAUUCCCGAAAUGCAUUGGUCACUCUCGGUACACUGCCGGAAUUGCCCGAAAAUUUCCGGUGACCAAAUAAAACCAUCCUAUAUAUCAAUAUUUGUUUCCGGACCAUUUCAGAAACCCUAGUGACGUCCGUGAUCUCAUCCGGGACUCCUAGCAAUAUUCGAUAACCACACAUAUAACUCAACUAUACUAAAACAUCAUCGAACCUUAAGUGUGCAGACCCUGCGGGUUCGAGAACUAUGUAGACAUGACCCGAGACACUCCUCGGUCAAUACCUAAUAGCGGGACCUGGAUGCCCAUAUUGGAUCCUACAUAUUCUCCGAAGAUCUUAUCGGUUGAACCUCAGUGCCAAGGAUUCAUAUAAUCCCGUAUGUCAUUCCCUUUGUCCUUAGGUAUGUUACCUGCCCGAGAUUCAAUCGUCGGUAUUCGCAUACCUAUUUCAAUCUCGUUACCGGCAAGUCUCUUUACUCGUUCUGUAAUACAAAAUCCCAUGACUUACACUUAGUCACAUUGCUUGCAAGGCUUGUGUGUGAUGUUGUAUUACCGAGUGGGCCCCGAGAUACCUCUCCGUCACACGGAGUGACAAAUCCCAGUCUUGAUCCAUACUAACCCAACGAACACCUUCGGAGAUACCUGUAGAGCACCUUUAUAGUCACCCAGUUACGUUGUGACGUUUGAUGCACACAAGGUAUUCCUUUGCUGCCAGUGAGUUAUAUGAUCUCAUGGUCAUAGGAAUAAAUACUUGACACGCAGAAAACAAUAGCAAUAAAACGACACGAUCAAUAUGCUACGUUCAUAGUUUGGGUCUAGUCCAUCACAUGAUUCUCCUAAUUAUGUGAUCCCGUUAACAAGUGACAACACUUGUCUAUGGUCAGGAAACCUUGACCAUCUUUGAUCAAUGAGCUAGUCAACUAGAGGCUUACUAGGGACAGUGUUUUGUCUAUGUAUCCACACAUGUAUCUAUGUUUCCAAUCAAUACAAUUAUAGCAUGGAUAAUAAACAAUUAUCAUGAACAAAGAAAUAUAAUAAUAACUAAUUUAUUAUUGCCUCUAGGGCAUAUUUCCAACACUGUGAACUUCACUUAUAUCUUUUAGAGUAUGAAUAAAAUCAUCAUCGGGAAUAGGCUUGGAAGAGCAUCAUUGAAAUAACCAUGCCUAGCUAAAAGGCAUUAAAGAAAAGCGCUUGUUGGGAGACAACCCAACACUUUUGCCUUCUGAUUCUAUGAGUUCACAUGAUUACGCUACAGUAGAAAUCAUGUUUUGUGUCUUUUAUUUCAAUAAAGUGCCAAGUAAAGCCUUUGGGAUGACUCACAAGAUGAGUAGAAUUAAUGUUGAACCAAAACAAAAACUUUUGACUUGAGUACAGGAAUUUUCAUUUUUUACUGGAGCGUGAUAAUGAUCUGAACUUUGUACACAGUCUUGAUAUACAAAUUAUUCUGGUUGUCCUCAUUUGUCAAAAAAAUUAGAGAUAGGGAAGUAUGGCUAUACUACAGACCUUAACAGACUAUUCUGUUUUUGAUAGAUUCUGUUUUGCAUGCAUAGUUUGCUUAUUUUAGUGUUCCCGUAACUUAUAUUUGGUAAUAUAAAUUGUGGAAAUGAUAUAAUACAGUAGGUAUCAUGUGGUAAUAAUUAUGAGUAUUGUCUUGACAGUACCUAAGUGAAUGAUAUAUCUUUAUUACACUAACCGUUCUCACGAAGUUCCGUUAAGUUUUGUGUGAUUGAAGUUUUCAAGUUUUGGGUGAAACACCGAUAUGAGGGGGGGGGGGGCAAGGAGUGACAAGAACCUAAGAUUGGGGAUGCCCAAGUCACCCCAAAGUAAUAUCUAAGGAAGGCUCAAGCGCUUAAGCUUGGGAAUGCCCCAGAAGGCACCCCCUCUUUCGUCUUCAACAUUAUCGGUAUAUCUUACUUGGAGCUAUAUUUUUAUUCGUCACAUAAUAUGAGUUUUGCUUGGAGUGUCAUUUUAUUUUGUUGUUCUCUGUUAGGUGUUAUUUAUAAUCUUGUUUUUCAACAAAAAGUUCCAAAAAUUGCAUUAGGAUGCUUGCAUUGCUUGCUUUGAUUGGUGUUGUGUAAAAACAGAAACUAAUGUUGUAGUGUUUAAAUUUUCAUAUUUUACUGGAACGUGGAACGUUUCUGAAAUUUUACACUAGGUUUUUAUAUAAAUUUUAUAGCAUGUACUAAAUUUUCAUAAUGUUUUGAGUUACAAAAGUACACCGUUUUCAUAAAUUUCUACAGACUGUUCUGUUUGGACAGAUUGCUGUCAUAAUUUUGCUAUCUACUUAUCCUAUAGUUUCCAUAGCCUAUAUUGAUAGAUAUAAAUUGUGGAAAUGAUAGUAAACAGUAGAUGAUGUUUGUAAUUAUUAUGCAACUUGUCUUGGAAGUACAUAAAGAGUUGAUUUAUUAUUAUGUGCACUAACCUAUCAUACGAGUUCUUUUCAAGUUUUGUGUGGAUGAAGUUUUUGAGAAUAGGUGAAACCGGGAUACGAGAGGAUUGAAAAGGAUACAAAAUCUCAUGCUUGGGGAUGCCCAAGGCACCCCAAGUAAAUAUUUUAAAAACUCUCAAGCAUCUAAGCUUGGGGAUGCUACGCAUCCCACCUCUCUCUGUCAACUAUCGGUUAGCCUAUGUUGAGCCUAAAUUUUUAUUGUUCACAUGAUGCGUCCUAUUCUUUGAGUGCUAUUUUUAUUUUGUUUUCUAUUUAAAUAAAAUACUCAGAUCUGAAAAUAUUUUUUUUGAGGGAGAGAGAGUCCUCACAUAGCUCCUUAAUUGUUUGACUACUCAUUGAUCUUCACUUAUAUCUUUUGUGAGUAGCUUGUCAUUUCCUGUAAUGCUUCACUUAUACCUUUUUGAGGGAUGAAAUCUUUAUGCUCUUGUGCUUCCUUUAAAUUGGUUUGAGCAUGUCUAAAUGGCAAUAGCAAUAUAUGAAACUAGUCCCAAAGUAAUAGAUAUCCAAGAGGGAUAUAAUAAAAACUUUCAUGAAGAUCGUGGGACAAAUUAAACUUGAUUCUUUGUAAUAGUUUUGAAACACGAUGAUAGUAAUAUGUGAGUCAUGUUAGUGAGUAAUUAUGCUAUAAGUAGGAAUGUUGGUGUUAAGGUUUCUGAUUCCCUAUGCAUGCACGAAAGUCAAUAGUUAUGCAAUGAAGUUACAUCCUACUUGUGGUGCAUUAUUCGGUGUUAGUUAUGACUCAAUGCUCACUUAUGAGAUUUUCUGUUCCUCGGUUUGAUUCCUUCCCAAUAUAUUUUCUAGCCUUCAUUUGUGCGAAGUAGAAAUACUACUUAUGCAUCCAAAAUCCUUAAAUCAAGUUUCGCGUCAUGAGACCAUCAUACCUACCUAUAUGCGGUAUUCCAUGCCGUUCCAAGCAAAUUUGUAUGUGCCAUCUCUAAAUUUUCAAAAUAAAUUUUCUCUUUUGUGUGCCCGUACCGCUCAUGAGACGGUGGGGAGUAUCCAAUAUUUUGUUGGAAUUAUGCCCUAGAGGCAAUAAUAAAUAUAGUUAUUAUUAUAAUUCCUGUAUCAAGAUAAUCGUUUAUUAUCCAUGCUAUAAUUGUAUUGAAUGUAGACUUAUAUACAUGUGUGGAUACAUAGACAAAACACUGUCCCUAGCAAGCCUCUAGUUGGCUAGCCAGUUGAUCAAAGAUAGACAGGGUCUUCUGAUUAUGGACAAGGUGUUGUUGCUUGAUAACUGGAUCACCUCAUUAGCAGAAUCACGUGAUGGACUAGACCCAAACUAAUAGACCUAGCAUCUUGAUCGUGUCAUUAGCUUGCUACUGUUUUCUGCGUGUCAAGUAUUUCUUCCUAUGACCAUGAGAUCAUAUAACUCACUGACACCGGAGGAAUGCUUUGUGUGUAUCAAACGUCGCAACGUAACUAGGUGACUAUAAAUAUGCUCUACAGGUAUCUCCGAAGGUGUUCGUUGACUUAGUAUGGAUCGAAACUGGGAUUUGUCACUCCGUGUGACGGAGAGGUAUCUCGGGGCCCACUCGGUAAUACGACAUCACACACAAGCCUUGCAAGCAAUGUGACUUAGUGUAAGUUGCGGGAUCUUGUAUUACAGAACGAGUAAAGAGACUUGUCGGUAAACGAGAUUGAAAUAGGUAUGCGGAUACUGACGAUCGAAUCUCGGGCAAGUAACAUACCGAAGGACAAAGGGAAUGACAUACGGGAUUAUAUGAAUCCUUGGCACCGAGGUUCAAACGAUAAGAUCUUCGUAGAAUAUGUAGGAUCCAAUAUGGGCAUCCAGGUCCCGCUAUUGGAUAUUGACCGAGGAGUCACUCGGGUCAUGUCUACAUAGUUCUCGAACCCGCAGGGUCUGCACACUUAAGGUUCGACGUUGUUUUAUGCGUAUUUGAGUUAUAUGGUUGGUUACCGAAUGUUGUUCGGAGUCCCGGAUGAGAUCACGGACGUCACGAGGGUUUCCGGAAUGGUCCGGAAACGAAGAUUGAUAUAUAGGAUGACCUCAUUUGAUUACCGGAAGGUUUUCGGAGUUACCGGGAAUGUACCGGGAAUGACGAAUGGGUUCCGGGUGUUCACCGGGGGGGGCAACCCACCCCGGGGAAGCCCAUAGUCCUUGGGGGUGGCGCACCAGCCCUUAGUGGGCUGGUGGGACAGCCCAAGAAGGCCCUAUGCGCCAUAGGAAGAAAAUCAAAGAGAAAAAAAGAGGAGGUGGGAAAAAGGGGAAGGACUCCUCCUUCCAAACCUAGUUGGAUUCGGUUUGGAAGGGGAGGACUCCCCCCCUUGGCUCGGCCGACCCCCUUUGGGGUCCUUGGACCCCAAGGCAAGGCUCCCCCUCUUCCCCCUAUAUAUACGAAGGUUUUAGGGCUGAUUUGAGACAACUUUUCCACAGCAGCCCGAGCACAUAUCUCCAUGGUUUUACCUCUAGAUCGCGUUUCUGCGGAGCUCGGGCGGAGCCCUGCUGAGAUUAGAUCACCACCAACCUCCGGAGCACCGUCAUGCUAUCGGAGAACUCAUCUACCUCUCCGUUUCUCUUGCUGGAUCAAGAAGGCCGAGAUCAUCGUCGAGCUGUACGUGUGCUGAAUGCGGAGGUGCCGUCCGUUCGGCACUAGAUCGUGGGACUGAUCGCGGGACGGUUUGCGGGGCGGAUCGAGGGACGUGAGGACGUUCCACUACAUCAACCGCGUUCACUAACGCUUUUGUUGUGCGAUCUACAAGGGUACGUAGAUCGAAUAUCCCCUCUCGUAGAUGGACAUCACCAUGAUAGGUCUUCGUGCGCGUAGGAAAUUUUUUGUUUCCCAUGNNNNNNNNNNNNNNNNNNNNNNNNNNNNNNNNNNNNNNNNNNNNNNNNNNNNNNNNNNNNNNNNNNNNNNNNNNNNNNNNNNNNNNNNNNNNNNNNNNNNAAAAGGGUGUAAAAGGGGAUCGAAAGACCAACCACCACCGUCAGCCAUCGCAACGCUAUGACUUCUCGAUGCCAUCUAUAGAUCUACUUUUCGAAUGAUUGCGACAAUCCUUCAUCAUUCUUGCUCCAAGCAGGCAAGGGUCGUCAUGUUCGUCUCCGAUGACAAGGGCAAUCAAGGUAUUCUUACCCUUCAACCAACUUACAUGGAUGUUCUUGUACAUGAUUAGGAUGAUGUACUUCUUAAGCCAUGAAGUUUUCUCUUAACAUCAGCAAUUUUGAGAAGCCAAAUAUUCGAAGUGGAGAAUAUCCGAUUUUCUCCUUUAUCCACGUUAAUUUACUCUACCAAAUUAAUUGGGCAAGUAUAGAGGUUGCCAUCUUGAUUUUCUUCCCUUGGAGCGUCCGUCCGUCCCCAGUGACCGAAGAUGAACCCCUCAAAAGAAAAGAAAAACCCGAAGAUGACACGUCUUUUCUACACGUGGAUGCCGCCCACUGGCUAGCGACACGCCACCACCGGCGCAUCUCCCUCGCCGCCGCUGUGCAGACCCCCGUUCUCUCCGAGCGAACACGCCUCCUUCCUCCUCCCCACACCCCAUUCACUCACAUGGUCCUCACAGGGUGAAUACCUUGAUGCUAUCUCCCCUCCUAGAGUUUCUCCCAAUCCAACCAAUCACAAGGGUACGAAAUCCGGAUAGGGGCGCGGCCGCAUCCCGGGACGAGAUUUCACUCCGCCGCCGCCCCCGGCGGUGCUCAGUGUCCGUGCNNNNN